AAGACGAGAGAGAAGGAAAAGCCAUGAAAGAAGCUAAGCAGAAGAAGCUGGAAACCUCCAUUGGGGUAUCUAGCAAUGGUUCGAUAUCAGCGCUGGGUGCGUUUUCUGUUUACUUGAUGACUGGAUUGUUUCUGGCCGUCGGAUUCUGGGUGGCUCGAUACAAAUUUUCAGUCGAUCUCGUCUCUGAUCCAUCUCGAACUCUGUUUCUCCUCUGGAGUAUUGAGUUUCCGGUUGUGGUGAUCGUCUACAGCUUUCUACGGAAAGCCCCAACGGAAUGUUCGUGUUGUAAGGCUGUUGGGCGAAGCAUCUUAGGACUUAUUUCAGGGGCUCUUAUGAAUGCUUUGGGAGCAGUUGCUUUGGGUGCACCUAUUGGAGCGCAAUAUCUACCAAAAACAAUUCACUGGUCCUUUCUUAUGUCUGUUUUCACGUUUGUACCAGCAACUGUAGUAUUUGGUGCAUCAUUGACAGAUUGGCAUCGUGUAUUCGCUUCCGUGAAACCUAGUGGAAAUAUAGAGUAUAUGAUCCUUGUUCCAGCAUAUGGAGCAAUUAUUGGAGGAUGGUUUGGAGCUUGGCCUAUGCCGCUUGACUGGGAAAGGCCAUGGCAGGAAUGGCCAAUAUGUGUGUGUUAUGGAGCUAUAGGAGGCUACAUUGUUGGACAAAUUGUCUCCUUGUGUUUGAUCUUGUUUCUCAGGAAACACAAGAGUUUGAAAGUAGCCUAGAAUGGAUUGACGGUACCCAAAACGAAUUUCUUUUUGUUUUGACUUGAUUACUAGCUAGAUUGAGAGGCAACAAACAAUAGGACAAGAUUUUUGUGAGCUUGAACAGAGGAAGUCAGGAUCAUCAGGCACAUAUCAAAAAACCAAUCUUCUCCAAAACCAUUCAGAUUACUGACAAUGGACGCAGGCUCAUUGAAAGUCUUAUGGAUUGGGCUAGGCUCAAUUUAGUUGAUGCCUAUAAUAUAAUCAGCGUACCAGAUGCCUUGUCGUUUUUUUUUUAUUUUAAAAACCGACAAGGAGUUAAAAGUUGCCUUGUUUUUAUGUUAAUGGACAUUAUUUAUGGGUUAAUUUCACUGAUAUGAGUUAGAAGAUAAUAAAAUAAUAAUUUCUUAAAAAGACACAUCAUAACAUUUAUACAAAUCAAACAACAGUAAUCGUCAUUCAGUGUAAUCAGUAGAUCCAAGACAUAGAUCAGUUCUCUGUCACUACAAAAAAAAAAAAACAGAGCGGAUGGAUGUACAUAGAAUCUAUAGAUUCCGUUAUUUUUUUUAUCUAAAUUUGCAACAGAGUAAAUAAAGUAUUGUACUUGAUACCAACGCACAGUGUUGACUGUACACUGCAGAGAUCAUGGACAAACUCUGUCGGAUGUCGUGGCGAGCGGUUAUUGGCUGAAAUGGUCUCAUUUGGGCCUCACUCUCACAUGAAUGUGUUCAAUGCUGCGAAAGUGCGUGAGCUCCGUGUCUGAAACAUAUGGUAAAACGCCGUAAAAAGAUGGCAUACCCGAAAAGGGUGGUGUGGUUACCAUUUACUUGCAUUUCUCAUUUAUAUCUCGCCCUCAUCCUUCUCUCUUUCUUUUUUUUUUUUUUUUUGUCAUUUUCUCUCUUUCUUUUUAAUAGACAUGACAAGACUGUUAACAUUUUGAUUGGUUUGAAGUUUGUAGACAAAAAAAUAUCAUAUCAGUAAACGGUCUGACUGUUAAAUGAUGGCAUGUAUUGACUGAUAUAAGAGAACUUACAUCA